AGUUAUCUGGUGAUAGUAUAGAGUUCUGACAUCUACACUACUAUAACAGGUCAGUUAUCUGGUGAUAGUAUAGUGUUCUGACAUCUACACUACUAUAACAGGUCAGUUAUCUGGUGAUAGUAUAGUGUUCUGACAUGUACACUCCUUUAACAGGUCAGUUAUCUGGUGAUAGUAUAGAGUUCUGACAUCUACACUACUAUAACAGGUCAGUUAUUUGGUGAUAGUAUAGUGUUCUGACAUCUACACAACUAUAACAGGUCAGUUAUCUGGUGAUAGUAUAGUGUUCUGACAUCUACACUACUAUAACAGGUCAGUUAUCUGGUGAUAGUAUAGUGUUCUGACAUCUACACUACUAUAACAGGUCAGUUAUCUGGUGAUAGUAUAGUGUUCUGACAUCUACACUACUAUAACAGGUCAGUUAUCUGGUGAUAGUAUAGUGUUCUGAUAUCUACACUACUAUAACAGGUCAGUUAUCUGGUGAUAGGAUAGUGUUCUGACAUCUACACUAAUAUAACAGGUCAGUUAUCUGGUGAUAGUAUAAUGUUCUGACAUCUACACUACUAUAACAGGUCAGUUAUCUGGUGAUAGUAUAGAGUUCUGACAUCUACACUACUAUAACAGGUCAGUUAUUUGGUGAUAGUAUAGUGUUCUGACAUCUACACAACUAUAACAGGUCAGUUAUCUGGUGAUAGUAUAGUGUUCUGACAUCUACACUACUAUAACAGGUCAGUUAUCUGGUGAUAGUAUAGUGUUCUGACAUCUACACUACUAUAACAGGUCAGUUAUCUGGUGAUAGUAUCGUGUUCUGACAUCUACACUACUAUAACAGGUCAGUUAUCUGGUGAUAGUAUAGUGUUCUGAUAUCUACACUACUAUAACAGGUCAGUUAUCUGGUGAUAGUAUAGUGUUCUGUCAUCUACACUACUAUAACAGGUCAGUUAUCUGGUGAUAGUGUUCUGACAUCUACACUACUAUAACAGGUUAGUUAUCUGGUGAUAGUAUAGUGUUCUGACAUCUACACUACUAUAACAGGUCAGUUAUCUGGUGAUAGUAUAGUGUUCUGACAUCUACACUACUAUAACAGGUCAGUUAUCUGGUGAUAGUAUAGUGUUCUGACAUCUACACUACUAUAACAGGUCAGUUAUCUGGUGAUAGUAUAGUGUUCUGACAUCUACACUACUAUAACAGGUCAGUUAUCUGGUGAUAGUAUAGUGUUCUGACAUCUACACUACUAUAACAGGUCAGUUAUCUGGUGAUAGUAUAGUGUUCUGACAUCUACACUUCUAUAACAGGUCAUUUAUCUGGUGAUAGUAUAGUGUUCUGACAUCUACAUUACUAUAACAGGUCAGUAAUCUGGUGAUAGUAUAGUGUUCUGAUAUCUACACUACUAUAACAGGUCAGUUAUCUGGUGAUAGUAUAGUGUUCUGACAUCUACACUACUAUAACAGGUCAGUUAUCUGGUGAUAGUAUAGUGUGCUGACAUCUACACUACUAUAACAGGUCAGUUAUCUAGUGAUAGUAUAAUCAACUGCCCUACAGUUAGAAUAGGAUGUUUGUCCCUAAUACUGGAAUUGGAGAUAGCUACACACCUGAUUCUACUAAUCAACCAGUCACAAUCCAAAUCAGUUAACUUAAUGCAUAGUCACUGUUUUCUACCAGAAGUGUUCUAUUACCAGUGGUCUAUUACCAGUGUUGUAUUACUAGUGUUGUAUUGCCAGUGUGUCAUGAGAAUUUUAAAUCCAAAUGAUAAUAACUAACAAUCAAUAAGCUUUGACUAAUCUCCAAGGUUUGUAAGAUACUGGGUUAAUAAUAAUUAGUCAAAGACUCAGCUUCUGCAAAAGGUUCGUACAGUUUAUUCAGAGAACGUUCUGAAGUCCAUUAUACAAAGACAUUCAUUUUAUAACUUGCUUCUUCCUUACGCACAUACAUCCACACAAACAGUAGGUGGGAUGUAUCCCUCCCCAGAGUUCUCACCACUGUUUAUCACUACCCAGCGCUGUCCGUUCCAUUCCCCAGAGAUUAGAGGAACCUUGAGAAGUACUCCCUGUCCUAUCAUAAGUUUAGUUCUAGCCAGGUUGAGCCAAACAAUCUCUAUUGUUCUCUGUAUUUUCUUAGGCACACACAUACACACAUACAUUUCUCUUCCUCACAGGUCUCUACUAAACCUUAUGGGUCCCUUAUCACAGUGUUGUACUACCAGUGUUGUAUUGCUAGUGUUGUAUUACUAGUGUUGUAUUACCAGUGUUCUUUUACCAGUGUUCUAUUACCAGUGUUCUAUCACCAGUGUUCUAUUACCAGUAUUGUAUUACCGGUGUUAUAUUACUAGUGUUCUAUUACCAGUGUUGCACUUCCAGUGUUGUACUACCAGUGUUGUAUUACUAGUAUUGUAUUACUAGUAUUGUAUUACCAGUGUUGUAUUACCAGUGUUGUAUUGCCAGUGUUGUAUUGCCAGUGUUGUAUUGCCAGUGUUGCAUUGCCGGUGUUAUAUUGCCGGUGUUGUAUUACCGGUGUUGUAUUACCGGUGUUGUAUUACCGGUGUUGUAUUACCAGUGUUCUAUUACCAGUUUUCUAUUACCAGUGUAAUAUUACCAGUGUUAUAUUACCAGUGUUGUAUUACCAAUGUUGUAUUACUAGUGUUGUAUUGCCAGUGUUGUAUUGCCAGUGUUGUAUUGCCAGUGUUGUAUUACUAGUGUUCUAUGACCAGUGUUGUAUUACAAAUGUUGUAUUACCAAUGUUGUAUUACCAAUGUUGUAUUACCAGUGUUGUAUUACCAGUGUUGUAUUGCCAGUGUUAUAUUACUAGUUUUCUAUUACCAGUGUUGUAUUGCCAGUGUUAUAUUACUAGUUUUCUAUUACCAGUGUUGUAUGACCAGUGUUCUACUACUAGUGUUCUAUGACCAAUGUUGUAUUACUAGUGUUCUAUGACCAG
rnacentral:lncRNA from 1 species